rnacentral:rRNA from 1 species
UACGGAGGGUGCAAGCGUUAAUCGGAAUUACUGGGCGUAAAGCGUGCGCAGGCGGUUUGUUAAGUCCGAUGUGAAAUCCCCGAGCUCAACUUGGGAAUUGCAGUGGAUACUGGCAAGCUGGAGUAUGGUAGAGGAAGGUGGAAUUCCCGGUGUAGCAGUGAAAUGCGUAGAGAUCGGGAGGAACACCAGUGGCGAAGGCGGCCUUCUGGACCAAUACUGACGCUCAUGCACGAAAGCGUGGGGAGCAAACAGG